ACACACCACACCGAAACUGGGGCACACCACACUGCAAUCGGGACACAACACACUGAAAUCGCGAUUUCUCCCUCCCCGAGCCGCGCUAUCAGCUGGGGAGGUCCUCUUGCCUUUUCCUAGUCUGGAUUCUAGUUACCCGCUGGUUAUUGCCCUGGAGCUCAACAUUCACCUCAUUCUCACCUCAUCCCCCUCCGAACCGGGGCAGAGGGACGUUGUGGUGAAUGCGGAGCCCGUCGCCGGGUGUGGGAAACGCACUACUACGAGGUCCACACUCACGUCGUCUCACAGAGACGUCUCACUCAUCACACUCCGGGAUCCCAACCCCGACAGAGCGGGCCCCGCUGCCUCCGAACGGGGCAACCUCAGUAGCCCCGAAGGACCACUGAAAGGGCACACUCAAUUUGCUGCCUCGUGGAAUAACAAUAAUAUUGUUUUGCACACAUUCCCCAAGAUCAAGUCCAAAGUAGUGAGUUAAAGGGACUCCUUUGAUCCGUUUCGCCACGAUUAAAACAAA